rnacentral:misc_RNA from 1 species
UUUUUUUUUUUCUCUUGAUCUAACCUUUCUCGCACUCUCUCUCCCACUCACUUUCCCGGUAAAGAAAGCUUUUGAGUGAAAUAAUGACGGGUUUUAUUGGGAUUUUAUAGGGCAGAAAGUGGGUUUCGCGAGUGGAAAAAUAAUGGAGGAGAGAAAGUGGUUUUGGGUUGGUGGCUUUUCUUGCUUUAGUUUAAACUUUAUUUUUGGCAAAGGAAAGAAGAUGACAACGGAGGAACGGAGUUACAAGUGAUAGGAGCAUCCACUUGUCAGAGAUGUGGAACCGGUGAUCUCUUCAUUGACCUUUUG